GAGAGUUUGAUCCUGGCUCAGGAUGAACGCUGGCGGCGUGCCUAAUACAUGCAAGUCGAGCGAAUGGAUUAAGAGCUUGCUCUUAUGAAGUUAGCGGCGGACGGGGGAGUAACACGUGGGUAACCUGCCCAUAAGACUGGGAUAACUCCGGGAAACCGGGGCUAAUACCGGAUAACAUUUUGAACCGCAUGGUUCGAAAUUGAAAGGCGGCUUCGGCUGUCACUUA
rnacentral:rRNA from 1 species